rnacentral:rRNA from 1 species
UCGAGUGGCGAACGGGUGAGUAACACGUGGGCAAUCUGCCCUGCACACCGGGAUAAGCCUGGGAAACUGGGUCUAAUACCGGAUAGGACCACUUGGCGCAUGCCUUGUGGUGGAAAGCUUUUGCGGUGUGGGAUGGGCCCGCGGCCUAUCAGCUUGUUGGUGGGGUGACGGCCUACCAAGGCGACGACGGGUAGCCGGCCUGAGAGGGUGUCCGGCCACACUGGGACUGAGAUACGGCCCAGACUCCUACGGGAGGCAGCAGUGGGGAAUAUUGCACAAUGGGCGCAAGCCUGAUGCAGCGACGCCGCGUGGGGGAUGACGGCCUUCGGGUUGUAAACCUCUUUCACCAUCGACGAAGGUCCGGGUUUUCUCGGAUUGACGGUAGGUGGAGAAGAAGCACCGGCCAACUACGUGCCAGCAGCCGCGGUAAUACGUAGGGUGCGAGCGUUGUCCGGAAUUACUGGGCGUAAAGAGCUCGUAGGUGGUUUGUCGCGUUGUUCGUGAAAUCUCACGGCUUAACUGUGAGCGUGCGGGCGAUACGGGCAGACUAGAGUACUGCAGGGGAGACUGGAAUUCCUGGUGUAGCGGUGGAAUGCGCAGAUAUCAGGAGGAACACCGGUGGCGAAGGCGGGUCUCUGGGCAGUAACUGACGCUGAGGAGCGAAAGCGUGGGGAGCGAACAGGAUUAGAUACCCUGGUAGUCCACGCCGUAAACGGUGGGUACUAGGUGUGGGUUUCCUUCCUUGGGAUCCGUGCCGUAGCUAACGCAUUAAGUACCCCGCCUGGGGAGUACGGCCGCAAGGCUAAAACUCAAAGGAAUUGACGGGGGCCCGCACAAGCGGCGGAGCAUGUGGAUUAAUUCGAUGCAACGCGAAG